rnacentral:lncRNA from 1 species
GAAUGUAAACCAGUUUGGAUUAAUGUGGAUAACUUCACUGCACUUUGCUUUUCGUUUGUUGCAGGUGCCUUUUCCGUUUUGUUUUUCAUUUUUGUUUUAUGCAGGCAGUUCACUGAACUAUCAGGCGGUUAGGUUGAAACAUCAAGCGUGACUAUUUCUUCUCGUCAUGUCAGCCGCAUUAAUGUCCCUUUAUGUAGCAUGAUGCCAUUGGCUAGUUUCUUUGCGUUCUGCAUUAACACAGUUGCCAUACAAUAUCCAUCUCACAAUAUAAUAAUAGCCAAAGAUUUAUGUAGAGAUUCUCCAUUUUUUUCAAACACUUUUCAAAUCAUAGAAUUAUAUUUCUAACUUAUGUAAUUGAAUGUAAACCAGUUUGGAUAAAUGUGGAUAACUUCACUGCACUUUGCUUUUCGUUUGUUGCACGUGCCUUUUCCGUUUUGUUUUUCAUUUUUGUUUUAUGCAGGCAGUUCACUGAACUAUCAGGCGGUUAAAGUCAAGUUCAAAAUUUUGUUGAGUGCAAUUGGUCUUUAUCGAAGUGAUCCUAAACUGUUGUUAUCGUGGCACUCGA